rnacentral:rRNA from 1 species
GGGCUGCAGUAUUUUGACUGUACAAAGGUAGCAUAAUCAAUAGUCUUUUAAUUGGUGACUUGUAUGAAAGAUUGGAUGAAAUAUAUACUGUCUCUAAAUAAUUUUUAGAAAUUAAUUUUUUAGUUAAAAAGCUAAAAUAAUUUUAAAAGACGAGAAGACCCUAUAGAGUUUAAUAAUUUAUUUUAUUGUUAUUAUUAUAUAAUUUUUAAAAUUAAAAUUAARUAAAUUAUUUUGUUGGGGUGAUAAAAAAAUUAAAUUAACUUUUUUUAGUUUUUUACAUUGAUUUAUGAUUAUAUGAUCCAUUAAUAGUGAUAAAAAGAAAAAAUUACCUUAGGGAUAACAGCGUAAUUUUUUUUUUUAGUUCAAAUAGGAAAAAAAGUUUGCGACCUCGAUGUUGGAUUAA